GGAUCAAUAAGCUACAUAAUCAGAGGUGUGCAUCGUUGGAGAGAUGAGCAAACGGCUGAAGCUAGAUAAUGGCACUGUUAAGGUGCAAGAGCCAGUGCCUGAUCCAUGCACUUCUGAUAGCUCUGAAGAAGAGGAAGAAGCAGCAAAACCUGAAGAAAUCUGGGGAUACAAUACAAAACUACCUCAGCGAACAGCUCCACCAGACUUAAAACACCGCUGUGAUGUGUUGAACUUAAAAUUCCACCCACAAGCGGACAGGCUCGUGGUUGCCACUGUUGAUGGCAGAAUAGCACUGCACAACUACAGCAGUGAGCGCAGUGACCUGGCGCUGACCCUGCCCACCUGCAAGUCCACGUGCCGCGGGCUCGAGUUCUCGGGCGACGGCGGCCUGCUGUUCUCCGGUUGGGCGGAUGGCUCUCUGCGCAUACACA